GUGCUCAUUUCAGCAGCACAUAUAACUAAAAUUGGAAUGAUACAGAGAAGAUUAGCAUGGCCCCUGCGCAAGGAUGACACACAAAUGAAGUUGUCUAACCAUUG